rnacentral:lncRNA from 1 species
CCUGCUCUCGAGUUAUAAUUAGGGAGGAAAGCAAGUGAAAAUGAAGUAAAGUUAUGUAACUUUCUCUCUGUUUGUGUUGCCGAGUUUUUUAAAAGGAGGAAAGCAAGUGAAAGUGGAUGCAAGUAUAACAUACUUUCACUCCCAAAAGUGGGAUGAAAGUGAAAGCACAUUUGCUUUCACUUGCUUUCUCCCUAAAAAAACUCGGGAGCAGGGCCUAUGUUAGCCAAGACCAACAUUUUAUCAAUGUAGAGUUCAGUGCAUAUGAUUUCCAGAUAAAAGAUAUUAUAUUCAUACGAUGGAUGCUCUUAGCAAAGCAGAAUUUUAAUUCUUGCAAGUAUAAGUGGAUAACAAGGGCAGCAAAUUAACUUACCCCUCAGAUCAGGCCUUCGGCCAUAAUGCAGCUUGGUAGUUUUUGAAAGACACUGCUGAGGAAGACUUUCGAGUUCUUGCUCAAUAGGAUUGACGGCCACUGAAUUAUGCAAUUUAGGUGACAAUCCUUUAAGUUCCUCGAUCUGUUGUUUCUUGUUCCACAGAAAAGCUCCAGUGGCUGUCACAAGUAGGGAUAUGCAUAGGAGUAGCAUAUUUAGCAGAGCCUGUAAUGAGUAUGAGAAGACCAUAAAACUAUUAUGAUCUAUUGGAUAUAUGUAGAAGCGCGUAAGCAAUCCCAUGGUAAGAAGGAAGAUUAUGAAUGACAACGAUGUUAUUAAUCCGAGCCAUAACCAACUGAAUUUUCCUAAAUUUGUGGAUAUAGGUGCAUCGGAGGUGUUUGCCUUGAACCAUAUUGUCCGCAAGGGGGUUGACUUUUCUAUUUGUGGUUCUAAUUCACGGGUAACAUAUGCCUCUACUUGUAGCUCAAGAUUUGAAACUCCAGGAAGUAAACUAUUAGAGUCGUGCAUGUCCAAAAUCAUUUUAAUCAAAAAUAAAAAGUUAUAUUUCCUCAAUUUCAAUAGAUUUUUUUCCUCCUAUUUUUCCACUUUUCUUCAAUAAUAAUUUGAAUAUUUACCAUUUUAAUAAUUACGCACAAUUUUAAGAUAUGAUAUUAGAAUUCAUAUACCAAAUAAUGCCCUAGAUCAGUAUUUUCUAUUAUAUUUAUUGUACAUUUUUUAAAUAUUGUUGGACUUGAGCAUCAUAACAAUAAAUGUUCAGUAAAACUAAAAUAACCAUAAAGGCAUAUAAAUUUAUAAUAUUUUUUUAUAAAUUUUGGACUUGUAAAUUGAUUUGAAAUUAAAUUAACUAAUCAAUCAUGAUAUAAUCACGAUUUAGUAAUGAUAGACGAGAAACUGUUGAGCACCGUAGCUGUCUCCCUUUUCAUGAGCUAAACUGUUAAAUUAAAUUGAUACAGCUUGGAGUAACAAGGUUUUAGAAAUAAUUUAAGCCCAAAAAUUAUGAAUACUCAAUGAAAACCACCAGUAUAUAUUACUAUUAAAUAAUUAAUUGCCUGAAAUUUUUUUAUAUUAAAAGGCAAUUGCACAGUAACUACAAAGGAGUGGAUAGCAGCACUGCAUCCCUGAGAAUAUUUGAUCACCAGCUAAAACUUAUGGAUUCGAAAUGUAAAUUGUCUGCAGAGCCUGAUGAACAUAUGUUUGCGACAUCAUGGCGCAUACUCUUCGGACCACAAACUAGAACACCAACACUUGAUCCUUCUUGUUCCACUAGAAUUCCUACAACAUUACAUAAUCAACUCUAUUAUCAACUUCCUAUUGCCCUGCUCUCGAGUUAUAAUUAGGGAGGAAAGCAAGUGAAAAUGAAGUAAAGUUAUGUAACUUUCUCUCUGUUUGUGUUGCCGAGUUUUUUAAAAGGAGGAAAGCAAGUGAAAGUGGAUGCAAGUAUAACAUACUUUCACUCCCAAAAGUGGGAUGAAAGUGAAAGCACAUUUGCUUUCACUUGCUUUCUCCCUAAAAAAACUCGGGAGCAGGGCCUAUGUUAGCCAAGACCAACAUUUUAUCAAUGUAGAGUUCAGUGCAUAUGAUUUCCAGAUAAAAGAUAUUAUAUUCAUACGAUGGAUGCUCUUAGCAAAGCAGAAUUUUAAUUCUUGCAAGUAUAAGUGGAUAACAAGGGCAGCAAAUUAACUUACCCCUCAGAUCAGGCCUUCGGCCAUAAUGCAGCUUGGUAGUUUUUGAAAGACACUGCUGAGGAAGACUUUCGAGUUCUUGCUCAAUAGGAUUGACGGCCACUGAAUUAUGCAAUUUAGGUGACAAUCCUUUAAGUUCCUCGAUCUGUUGUUUCUUGUUCCACAGAAAAGCUCCAGUGGCUGUCACAAGUAGGGAUAUGCAUAGGAGUAGCAUAUUUAGCAGAGCCUGUAAUGAGUAUGAGAAGACCAUAAAACUAUUAUGAUC